rnacentral:rRNA from 1 species
GUCCACAGCCCUACCACUGACACACCUGAGCUUGUCUGAUCUCGGAAGCUAAGCAGGGUCGGGCCUGGUUAGUACUUGAUGGGAGACCAUCUGAGAAUACUGGGUGCUGUAGGCU